rnacentral:piRNA from 1 species
UAGGAAAACGCCCAAAGUUC